rnacentral:rRNA from 1 species
UUAAGCGACUAAGCGUACACGGUGGAUGCCCUGGCAGUCAGAGGCGAUGAAGGACGUGCUAAUCUGCGAUAAGCGUCGGUAAGGUGAUAUGAACCGUUAUAACCGGCGAUUUCCGAAUGGGGAAACCCAGUGUGWUUCGWCACACUAUCAUUAACUGAAUCCAUAGGUUAAUGAGGCGAACCGGGGGAACUGAAACAUCUAAGUACCCCGAGGAAAAGAAAUCAACCGAGAUUCCCCCAGUAGCGGCGAGCGAACGGGGAGSAGCCCAGAGCCUGAAUCAGUGUGUGUGUUAGUGGAAGCGUCUGGAAAGGCGCGCGAUACAGGGUGACAGCCCCGUACACAAAAAUGCACAUGCUGUGAGCUCGAUGAGUAGGGCGGGACACGUGGUAUCCUGUCUGAAUAUGGGGGGACCAUCCUCCAAGGCUAAAUACUCCUGACUGACCGAUAGUGAACCAGUACCGUGAGGGAAAGGCGAAAAGAACCCCGGCGAGGGGAGUGAAAAAGAACCUGAAACCGUGUACGUACAAGCAGUGGGAGCACGCUUAGGCGUGUGACUGCGUACCUUUUGUAUAAUGGGUCAGCGACUUAUAUUCUGUAGCAAGGUUAACCGAAUAGGGGAGCCGAAGGGAAACCGAGUCUUAACUGGGCGUUAAGUUGCAGGGUAUAGACCCGAAACCCGGUGAUCUAGCCAUGGGCAGGUUGAAGGUUGGGUAACACUAACUGGAGGACCGAACCGACUAAUGUUGAAAAAUUAGCGGAUGACUUGUGGCUGGGGGUGAAAGGCCAAUCAAACCGGGAGAUAGCUGGUUCUCCCCGAAAGCUAUUUAGGUAGCGCCUCGUGAAYUCAUCUCCGGGGGUAGAGCACUGUUUCGGCAAGGGGGUCAUCCCGACUUACCAACCCGAUGCAAACUGCGAAUACCGGAGAAUGUUAUCACGGGAGACACACGGCGGGUGCUAACGUCCGUCGUGAAGAGGGAAACAACCCAGACCGCCAGCUAAGGUCCCAAAGUCAUGGUUAAGUGGGAAACGAUGUGGGAAGGCCCAGACAGCCAGGAUGUUGGCUUAGAAGCAGCCAUCAUUUAAAGAAAGCGUAAUAGCUCACUGGUCGAGUCGGCCUGCGCGGAAGAUGUAACGGGGCUAAACCAUGCACCGAAGCUGCGGCAGCGACGCUKAUGCGUUGUUGGGUAGGGGAGCGUUCUGUAAGCCUGYGAAGGUGUGCUGUGAGGCAURCUGGAGGUAUCAGAAGUGCGAAUGCUGACAUAAGUAACGAUAAAGCGGGUGAAAAGCCCGCUCGCCGGAAGACCAAGGGUUCCUGUCCAACGUUAAUCGGGGCAGGGUGAGUCGACCCCUAAGGCGAGGCCGAAAGGCGUAGUCGAUGGGAAACAGGUUAAUAUUCCUGUACUUGGUGUUACUGCGAAGGGGGGACGGAGAAGGCUAUGUUGGCCGGGCGACGGUUGUCCCGGUUUAAGCGUGUAGGCUGGUUUUCCAGGCAAAUCCGGAAAAUCAAGGCUGAGRCGUGAUGACGAGGCACUACGGUGCUGAAGCAACAAAUGCCCUGCUUCCAGGAAAAGCCUCUAAGCAUCAGGUAACAUCAAAUCGUACCCCAAACCGACACAGGUGGUCAGGUAGAGAAUACCAAGGCGCUUGAGAGAACUCGGGUGAAGGAACUAGGCAAAAUGGUGCCGUAACUUCGGGAGAAGGCACGCUGAUAUGUAGGUGAAGUCCCUCGCGGAUGGAGCUGAAAUCAGUCGAAGAUACCAGCUGGCUGCAACUGUUUAUUAAAAACACAGCACUGUGCAAACACGAAAGUGGACGUAUACGGUGUGACGCCUGCCCGGUGCCGGAAGGUUAAUUGAUGGGGUUAGCCGCAAGGCGAAGCUCUUGAUCGAAGCCCCGGUAAACGGCGGCCGUAACUAUAACGGUCCUAAGGUAGCGAAAUUCCUUGUCGGGUAAGUUCCGACCUGCACGAAUGGCGUAAUGAUGGCCAGGCUGUCUCCACCCGAGACUCAGUGAAAUUGAACUCGCUGUGAAGAUGCAGUGUACCCGCGGCAAGACGGAAAGACCCCGUGAACCUUUACUAUAGCUUGACACUGAACAUUGAGCCUUGAUGUGUAGGAUAGGUGGGAGGCUUUGAAGUGUGGACGCCAGUCUGCAUGGAGCCGACCUUGAAAUACCACCCUUUAAUGUUUGAUGUUCUAACGUUGACCCGUAAUCCGGGUUGCGGACAGUGUCUGGUGGGUAGUUUGACUGGGGCGGUCUCCUCCUAAAGAGUAACGGAGGAGCACGAAGGUUGGCUAAUCCUGGUCGGACAUCAGGAGGUUAGUGCAAUGGCAUAAGCCAGCUUGACUGCGAGCGUGACGGCGCGAGCAGGUGCGAAAGCAGGUCAUAGUGAUCCGGUGGUUCUGAAUGGAAGGGCCAUCGCUCAACGGAUAAAAGGUACUCCGGGGAUAACAGGCUGAUACCGCCCAAGAGUUCAUAUCGACGGCGGUGUUUGGCACCUCGAUGUCGGCUCAUCACAUCCUGGGGCUGAAGUAGGUCCCAAGGGUAUGGCUGUUCGCCAUUUAAAGUGGUACGCGAGCUGGGUUUAGAACGUCGUGAGACAGUUCGGUCCCUAUCUGCCGUGGGCGCUGGAGAACUGAGGGGGGCUGCUCCUAGUACGAGAGGACCGGAGUGGACGCAUCACUGGUGUUCGGGUUGUCAUGCCAAUGGCACUGCCCGGUAGCUAAAUGCGGAAGAGAUAAGUGCUGAAAGCAUCUAAGCACGAAACUUGCCCCGAGAUGAGUUCUCCCUGACYCYUURAGRGUCCUGAAGGAACGUUGAAGACGACGACGUUGAUAGGCCGGGUGUGUAAGCGCAGCGAUGCGUUGAGCUAACCGGUACUAAUGAACCGUGAGGCUUAACCUU